UUGAGCCACUGAUGAUAAAAGUUAUCCCUGUCUGAACUUCAGUGUGGACACACGGUAACCUGAGGCUCGA